rnacentral:rRNA from 1 species
UACGUAGGCAGCGAGCGUUGUUCGGAGUUACUGGGCGUAAAGAGUGCGUAGGCGGUUUUCUAAGUUUGGUGUGAAAUCUCCCGGCUCAACUGGGAGGGUGCGCCGAAGACUGGAAGGCUUGAGUAUGGGAGAGGUAAGCGGAAUUCCUGGUGUAGCGGUGAAAUGCGUAGAUAUCAGGAGGAACACCGGUGGCGAAGGCGGGUCUCUGGGCCGAUAUUGACGCUGAGGAGCGAAAGCGUGGGGAGCGAACAGG